rnacentral:rRNA from 1 species
GACGAACGCUGGCGGCGUGCUUAACACAUGCAAGUCGAACGGAAAGGCCCUGCUUUUGUUGGGUGCUCGAGUGGCGAAAGGGUGAGUAACACGUGAGUAACCUGCCCUUUACUUUGGGAUAACGUCAGGAAACUGGGGCUAAUACGGGAUAGGAGCGCCUGCUGCAUGGGGGGGGUUGGAAAGUUUCGGCGGUUGGGGAUGGACUCGCGGCUGAUCAGCUUGUUGGUGGGGUAGUGGCUUACCAAGGCGUUGACGGGUAGCGGGCCUGCGAGGGUGACCGGACACACUGCGAAUGAGACACCGCCCGGCAUCAGAAGGGAGGCAGGAGUGGUGAAUGUUGCACAAUGGGCGGGAGGCUGAUGCAGCAACGCCGGGUGCGGGAUGGCGGACUUCGGUUUGUCACCCGCAAUCGCCUGUGACGAAGCGUGAGUGACGGUAAUGGGUAAAGAAGCACCGGCUAACUACGUG